rnacentral:sRNA from 1 species
CAGAGAGACUCCCUGGGACUCAAGUCCUCCAUGUAGCCACAGAACAGGUACAGCAUAGGCAGCGACAGUGUAGGGUAAUCCACCAAUAUGUCUCAUCACUGACCUGGAGGGCCCAGCACUAGGGCCCAGAGGAAGAGAUCAGUCUCUUUGCCUAUUUGAAUCUUCUCUUUU